AGUUCCCCAGCAAAUUACUUUCAAUAAAAGUGGCAGGUAAAAUUCUUUUCAGAAGCCUUUAUGAAUCGUCUCACUCACUUUUAAAAUUUAAAGAAGUAAAUCGAAAAAUAGUUUAGCAAAUAUUUUCGCAACACUUCUUAAGCUAUUACCCCAUUGCAAACAUGAACAGCUAAUGAACACAUCAAUGGCAUUUGCUAUGGCAUCAAAUAGUAGUUAGUAAAUUUGCAAAUUCAACAACUUUUGCCAACUAACUGAAAACUAACAGCGCUAAAGUGAUGAACAUAGAGGAACGAAACGUUGAAGUUGAAGUCGAAGUAGAAGUUGAAAGCAUUUCUCUUUACUAGUAUUUGAAUAAACAUUCAAAGUUCUUUAAGCAUUUUGGCAUUUACUUACGGCAGGAACUGCCGACGAACGACUUUGAGCAAACAUUGUGGAGAUGGAGAUGGAAUGGAAAGUUUGUAGCGUCUGGAUUCUUAAUUCAACAGAACACGCAAAGUUAAUAAAUUUCAAAGUGAAUAUGUUUUCACCAACAUGCACUUAGUCCGCUUGAACGGCACAGCGCUUGGACGUUGGACGUGGUCUUGGACAAGGCAACUUGAUAAAGAAGAAGAAGAAGCAGCAGCGGUAGAUGAAGCAGCAGGCGGCAGUCGGCAGUCUACGGGCUGAAUGGAAAUGUUGCUUGCGGCGUGGCUACAUUGUUUGCAACUACAAUUUUUAGCACUGCUGGAUAAUCCGGCCCUGGUCCGGCUCUAAGUCAACAAACACCAGACCAGACCAGACCAAACUGCAGAGGGAAAGGGGAAGGGGGAGUGUGCAGGGUGUGGCAUUGUGUCGUGGGCGUGCCGACAAAGCCUACGACUAUUGUGCUACAAGCUUGUAAAAAUAAAUGCGGACCUAAGGCUGCAGCAAGUGUCAGUCGAACCUGUGCCACACAGACCAACUUACUCCUUCUCUUCCCCUCUACCUCUCUCCUUGUCUCUUUGUAGAGGGCCAACCACAAGGCCAAGUCGUCUCCGUCUCGCCUUGGCCAGAUUGAGUCACACAACGUGGACACAACGAUGCGGUUUCGGUUUUGUUGAUAUAAUUUGAAUUUUAGGGUGUAAUUACGGCCAUAAAUGUAUUUGACUUUUACACAACAUCUCUUCUACCCCUCUGGCCACCCCCUCUCUCAUCCCCUUCCAUGGCCACCCAAGCAGCAUCGUCUGAGGCAUUUUGCAACAUUUUUUGGGGCGGUUGCCGUGCGCUUUUUAUAUGCAACUCUUAACUCUUAACAUGCCACAGAAACUGCUAACAAACAAAGUGCCAGCUGAAGCUGUGAACUCAACUCCAGUCCAGUUGAAAGUUAUACACUGCGUUUGCCCAGACGGACCUUUUAAUUUGCAUUUAUUGGUGCAGUCAUAAAACUGAAUGAUGCCCAGAAUCAUAAUGAUCAUGAUCUGCUCGACGAACAUUGUAAGCAAACAACAAGGAAGCUUUGACAAUGCUGAGAGUGAACGACUAAACAACACACUUUCUGUGAGACAUUAAAAUCUUCAUAAGUACAUAUUCAAAUAUCUUGUGAAAAUUGAAAAAUUUAG